AGGAUCUGCUGUCAAUAUUGGUUCCUCAUCAUCUCCAGGCAAUUACUCUGUGACAGCUGCUACAAGUGCCGCCAUGGACAUAGAUGUAGUUUUCAGCAGACCCUUUGCAGUGAUUGAUGAAAUAACCGAGGCAUCUCCAGCUGCAGAGGACGGUUUACAACUGGGAGAUCAGGUUGUAAGAUUUGGGAAUGUCCAGUCGGGUGAGAAU
rnacentral:misc_RNA from 1 species